rnacentral:rRNA from 1 species
UACGUAGGGGGCGAGCGUUGUCCGGAAUUAUUGGGCGUAAAGCGCGCGCAGGCGGUCCCUUAAGUCUGAUGUGAAAGCCCACGGCUUAACCGUGGAGGGUCAUUGGAAACUGGGGGACUUGAGUGCAGAAGAGGAGAGCGGAAUUCCACGUGUAGCGGUGAAAUGCGUAGAGAUGUGGAGGAACACCAGUGGCGAAGGCGGCUCUCUGGUCUGUAACUGACGCUGAGGCGCGAAAGCGUGGGGAGCAAACAGG